GGAGAGGUGGCAGAGUGGUUGAUUGCGACGGUCUUGAAAACCGUUAUCCCGAGAGAUCGGGAUCGAGGGUUCGAAUCCCUCCCUCUCCUCCA
rnacentral:tRNA from 1 species